rnacentral:sRNA from 1 species
CGGCAGAACCUAGACUAUUACCAAACCAUGUCUGGAGUGAAGGAGGCCGACUUCAAGGAUCUUGAGACUCAACCCCAUAUGUAGCAAGAAUUUCGACUGGGAGUGCGACUCUACUCAGAGGAACAGCCACAGGAAGCUGUGCCCCACCUAGAGGCGGCGCUGCAAGAAUACUUUGUGGCCUAUGAGGAGUGCCGUGCCCUCUGCGAAGGGCCCUAUGACUACGAUGGCUACAACUACCUUGAGUACAACGCUGACCUCUUCCAGGCCAUCACAGAUCAUUAUAUCCAGGUCCUCAGCUGUAAGCAGAACUGCGUCACCGAGCUUGCUUCCCACCCAAGUCGAGAGAAGCCCUUUGAAGACUUCCUCCCAUCGCAUUAUAAUUAUCUGCAGUUUGCCUACUAUAACACCAUUCUUCUUUCCACUUUGCAGUUGGGAAUUAUACACAGGCUGUUGAAUGUGCCAAGACCUAUCUUCUCUUCUUCCCCAAUGAUGAGGUGAUGAACCAAAAUUUGGCCUAUUAUGCAGCUAUGCUUGGAGAAGAACAUGCUAGAUCCAUCGGCCCCCGUGAGAGUGCCAAGGAGUACCGACAGCGAAGCCUACUGGAAAAAGAACUGCUUUUCUUCGCUUAUGAUGUUUUCGGAAUUCCCUUUGUGGAUCCGGAUUCAUGGACUCCAGAAGAAGUGAUUCCCAAGAGAUUGCAAGAGAAACAGAAGUGAGGACCUUGAAGAAACUGCAUGGUUGGAUCAGUCUGAUGAAGCACUUGAGGCUUCCUGAGCCCAGGCAGAUGUGAACUCCUGGCAAGGGGUGGGCAGGUCCAGUUUGGGAAGUCGGGGUGGAGCCCAGGGCUGGCCCUGGAAUGCAGUCCUCAGAGCGGCUGUGCUCAUAGGUCAGAACGGG